UUUUUUUUUUUUUUUUUUCUGGCAGAGUCUGGCUGUGUAGUUUGGGCUGGGUUAAAUUCACUGUGUGGUUGAGGGUGGCCUCCAACACACGGCAAUCCUCCUGCCUCCGCCUGCUGACUGCUAGGAUCACAGGUAUGUGCCAUCUCGCCCGGCCUUGACAUAAGCUUUGACUCUGCCCACUUCUGUUUGAGAAAAUAAUAAAUUCUGGGCGCAUUGGCUCUAAUUACCAGGCCUUUAAUAUUCUUUGUUAUUUUCCUGGGAGACCCAAGCUAUCCUCACACAGUAGAGCCACCCAGGUUUUCUGAUGUCUGAAAAAAUGCACAUUUGCAUGAAAGGUACAAUAGGAAAAGUCGGGGAGGAGUGCGUGCUGGCAAAUGAGGUUAAAAAGCAAGCAAACCAGGGGUGCAUAGUGAACAUAUUCUGAAACCAUCAGCCUAAGAAGCCAAGGGACUUCCUCCAUCUGCUCUGCCCCAUAAUGGGUAGCACAGUGUCCAGCAAGGCGCCCCCUACUGGUGCACAGGGCAGGAAAGGGAGCGCAAGACUGCCUGGGAGCUCAGGGCUGGGCCUGUGAAAUUUAAAACUGGUCUCAUCCCACUGAUUUCUGUCUCCAGACCGCUGUGGAUGGGACCCCAGCACCUGCCACCCCAGGCCACCCGUGUCCCCUGUGAUGCUUCGUCCUCAUCCCCUGUGGUGGCUGGGGUGGCUUCAGGCCGCAAGUGUCCCCAGGGAGCGUGAAGGCCACGGCAGCGUGGUCUUCCUUCCUCCCCCUGUGCUGUGCUGGUCUUGGUGCGCUGUGUGAGCCAGGGUUGUGGUGUUGAGGCCAAGGGAUUCCUCAUCCCAUCGCUCUCCCAAACCCUGGCAGCCUAACACGGAGCGAGUGAUUGUGUGCUGGGAGUGGGAAGGGGUAAGAUGUUUGGCCCUAAGUUGCUGCAUAUGAUCCCGGGGCCAGGCCCUCCAAGGGGAAGCCUAGAGCCAGCCAGAAUCCUGCCGGCCCUGACCACAGGCCAGUGACUGGAGAUGAGCACCUGGGCCCUCUGUGGUGUCAGGUGCAGGCUUGUGGGAUGGAUUAUUCUUCCCAGGUUCCUCCCCAGUUUCCUCCAGACAAUCGGCCAGCUGUGGGUUUGGGACAAAGCAGGACCAAGGUCACUGUCUAGUGCUGAAGAGAAAACCAGCAGCCUGUUUAGAAUUUCUGGAAGGACAGACACAAACAAAGCAGACACUAGAGGAGGGGCACGGAAGAGAUGUGUACAACCUCCCUUCCUGAGCACGCGCUGGUGCCAGAGCGCAGCUCUUGGAACCGUGGAUAUCACCCCUGUGUCCCUGAGUCCCAGCACCUUGCCUGGCACAACAGUGAUGUCCCCCGAGCGUGGACGAUCUAGUCAGCUCUGCGGCCUCAGUUCUCCCUUGAAGACCCAGGCUCCCUCCCUCAGGAAGGACCAGAGCUCCCUGGUGCUGGGAGGGAAGCUCCCACUCUGAAGGUGGCAGUACGUAUGUAUGGGGACGGGGAAGACAGGUUCCCCUUAGAGUUCCUCAAGUGUUGCCCACAGGGGACACCCUGUCCUGCUCACAGGCAGUUGGCAGAUGACACAGUCUGAGCUGUCCCUGCACGGUCCGGUGCCCAUGAUGGCCAUGGGUGGGACGAGGAAAGCCAGGUGAGGGUGAGGGGCGGACUUGUCACCAGCUUUGGCAGACAUGUGCCUGUGCACAUGUGCUGGGGUAUGUGUGUGCCUGUGUGCACACGCGUGUGCAUCUGACUUCUGUCUGCAGUGUGUGUGUGGGUGUCCAUGUCACAAGAGGCCUGACGUUUCUGUGUGACUCAGUCCGGUGCAGAAGCUGCUGAAGUGGAUCGGGCACAGGGUGAAUCCAGGAAUCUGGGCUCCUAGGGUUCCUGGCCGGUGCUCCUGUCUGUGUCAGCUCUUGCCAAUUCACGUUCCUCCUGCAAUGCUGCCUGUGGUCUACACCACCCAAGGUCCACUACCUUUCCUCUCUGCUGGUGGCCACCUAUGAAAGGGGAGGACGCGCAACAUCGGAAGGGAUUACAGCCACUCAGAAGUCAGUAUUGUGAGCGUUGCGGUUCACUGAGUAUGUGGUAACAUACCACGUGGUAAAUUUAACACAAUUAGGAAAUAAACUCAGUGUUCAUAUUUCAUGUGUGGGCAAGACUUGUGUUUUUAGUCAUUUUAAGAAACUUUGACAAAGUCACUGGAGGCCAGAAUGCGUACUGGGCACGAUGAUGCAUUGUCACGAGUACUGAUGUAGCCAGCAUUAAAGGAAGGCCACAGAAAGACGAGAUCUAUAUUGAACACCAUGGUGAAUUUGAGGACUUCAAGGCUGACCAAGGAAGGAAAAGAUCUGCCACAAGGUGGCAGCACUGUUCUAGUUUUAUUGGGCAGCGCUUGCACAGGGUUAUAUAUAAAAGGGGAGUCAUUCGUGGUGGGGUCGGCCUGCAAAUCCAGAGGCAGGAGGAUCACAAGUUUGAGCCAAGCCCAGGCAACUUAGUCACUUACCAAGUUCCUGUCUCAAAAUAAAAAAUAGAAAGGGUCGAGGGUGUAGCUCAGUGCAAAGAGAACUCCUAGGAGGUAGGAGAAUUAGAGGACAUUUAAAGGUCAAGGUGAAGUUGGUCAACAGCAAGGUGGGCGUUUUGGGGUCAGAGUUUAUCCCACAGGGUUUGUCUUAUCUAUGACCAGGAGAUGAUGGGGGCAGUGCAGUUACAUGGUCAUGCAAAGCAGGUGGGCUCUAACUUGUUUAACACAUGCUCGUUUGAGUUAUAUUUAAAUCAAGUAGAUGUGUGAGAAUUUGUUAAAUGUGUAAAAAAAUGUAUUUACAUGUGUGUAUCUUUACAACAUGAUAAUGGUUAAGGUAAACCAAGGCAUGACCAAGACUACCAGAGAAGGCAAAAAUGAAGCAACAAGCGAGGUUUUAUUUCCAGCCCGGUGCAGGUUAGUCAAGGCCACCAAAGCCUGAGGGCUGGGGAGAGGGGAAACUUCAAAUUCACUUACACUCAAAUUGCUUCAUUUUAACAUUAGGGACAUUAACGCUUUGCAAAAACUAAACCACUGUUCUGAAAUGAAUAUGCUAGCCACCGUGGCACAGACUCUUUUGAUUUGGCCUCAGAAUACCUACCCAACCCCAUAUUUUGUGGUGAGCAGGGGGUGAGACCUCAAUACUUGCUCUCAUAUCGAAAGAUCUUUUGGAGUAAUCAGUAAAGUUCCCAUAGGGUCCAACCACCUAGGACUGGAGAUAAAAAUUACCGUGAGUGGAUGGCUGGGGUCACACAGGACCAAAGGUGCUGGGGAAAUUCUGGCCUUGAUGGUGCGUGUUUGAGCAGUGGGUGCCCUAUGGACUGGGCAUCGUGGCAGGGCUGAGUUUCUAGGGGCAGCACAUGAGCAUGAGCGUGGGCCUUGAGCCUUGUGGGACAUCACAGUGGCCACAGGAGUGAGAUGAGUGGCCUGGUGAGGCAGGACACUCUGAGUUAGGGUAGGAAGCAUGUGCUCAGGCCCUUCCGCCCUCUUCCUCAGUGCCCCUCCAGGCCAGAGUCAGCCACUUUGAACUCCAAGGGGCUUCUGGGUGUACAGGAAGAUCGCCAAGUGAGACCCUGACUUUCCUUCAACCAGCUAGCCUUUCCCGGGCUCUCUUUCCUGAGCAAGCCAGCCCUCAAAACAAUCCUGGGAAACAUGAGCCCCUUCCUAAUAAAGUCAGCCCUGUUCAGAUGUGCUAGGUGUCAGAUUCCUCAUCUAUGCUUGUGCGCCCGCAGGGAAGCACACUGGGGAUUUAAGCCAGAGCUCUAGCGCGAAGCUACAUCCCGUCUGCUCCGCUUUUCCUAAAAUUUUGAGCCAGGGUCUUGUUAAAUCGCUAUUUGCCCAGAUAGGGCCCCAAUUGGGGUUACUCUUCCCUCAGGCUCCCAGAGCUCGGAAAACAGGUGCAGACCACCAUGCGCGGCUCUCUAACACUUUGAAAGUGGGGACACGCAAGCACAAACAAGAACAGCUGAACUGGGUCUCCGACCUCUUAGAGUAGAAACAGGCUAGGCCACCAAAGGGAGAAUGAACCUAGAUGCUGAUUGGUACCCUCAGGCCCCACCUCUCACCCACUAUCCAAUGGAACAAACAGCUCGUCUUUUUGCUCCCGCCUCCUUUUCAGCGGUAGCCUCUCUUCAGUCUUCUCUCUUCCUGGCCUGUCUCAUUGGAACAACCAAGACGAUAGGGUCCUCCAAGAUUCCUAGAGGGAAUUCUAAAACGGUUAUGGAUUAGCUGGGUAGUGUGAUGACGUGUUUCCGGGCAGCCAUUUUGUUUUCACUCCCGAGGUCUUCGUUUCUGAGCGCAGUCGCUUGGUGUCUCGACCGUUUUUUGCCUAAAGUUCUAGAGGCUGCCGGAGCUCCACUCCUGAGACUUUUGCCUUUCCCCAAGGAAUAAAAGAAGUUACAUGAUGACAUCUGUGUCAACAUCCAGCUCCCAGGACUCAGACACUUUCGAGGCUGUGGCAGUGCAUGUCACCAAGAAGGAAUGGGCCAGCUUGAAGCCUACCAGGAAGGCCCUGUACACGGAAGUGAUGAUGGAGAACUACAGGACCGUGGCUUCCUUAGCAGCAUCUGUUGAGAGACAAGCUCUGAACAUGGAGCUGGAGCAAGAGAGGGAAGCCCUAAUCAGGGGCGGCUGGGACGCAGGCCUGGCAGAUUACAUCUUAAAACUAAGAAGAUACACUUACCUAUUUUACAGAUACUUUGUCCGCUAAGAUAUAAAGAUUUUUGGAAAUCCUCAGUGCUGAGAAGACAGGACAAAAGCUUAAUUCUUGACUUUCACCACUUGUCAACUGAAUGUUCAUUAAACUUACUCAUUUUGACGUACA